GUGUGUUGAGGCGUUGUUCAAGGAGAUACUUCAAGCUCCUUUGAUCAGUGCGAAUGAUAAAGUGACCAUGGAGUAGGUAAUGUCUCCAUUUUUGAACAGCAAACACUACAGCCAACAACUCUUUCUCAUAAAUGGAGAGAUGGAGCUGUUUACCCUUCAAAUGGCGACUUAUAUAAGCCAAAGGAUGACCUUCCUGCAUCAAGACAGCUCCUAUUCCACUUCCACAUGCAUCAGUUUCUACUACAAACUGCUUCGUAAAGUCUGGUAAUGCAAGCACCGGAGCAUUACACAGAGUAAACUUCAAUUCUUCAAAUGCCUUUUGAGCCUCCUCUUGCCAUGUAAACGCCUCAUUCUUUGUCAAUAUUGUUAAAGGCCUCGCAAUUGCUCCAAAGUUUUUACGAAUUUUCUAUAAUACCCUGCCAAGCCAAGGAACCCUCUCAACUGCUUCAAUGUAGCAGGUAUUGGCCACUCUUUUACCGCCUUGAUUUUGUUUGGAUCUGUAGACACACCUCGAGCUUCAAUAAAGUGACCAAGAUACUUCACACUUGUCGUCGCAAAAUCACAUUUGCUCCUCUUUGCAUACGAGCUAUGCUUCCUCAUUAAGUCAAAGACUUGUUGCAAGUGAUGAACAUGCUGAUCAACUGAGCUGCUAUAGAUAAGUAUGUCGUCAAAGAAUAUGAGGACAAAGUUCCUUAGAAAUGGCUUGAAAAUCGAGUUCAUCAGCUGUUGAAAAGUUGCAGAAGCAUUGGUUAAGCCAAAUGGCAUCACCAAAUACUCAUAAUGGCCACUGUGAGUUUUGAAAGCUGUUUUGUGGACAUCUUGAGGAUGCAUUCUCACUUGAUGAUAGCCUGCUCGCAAGUCAAUCUUCGAGUAUAUCAGUGAACCUCCAAGUUCAUCCAUCAAGUCUUCAAUCAAUGGUAUUGGAAAGCGGUCUUUGAUAGUCAUAUUGUUAAGACCUCGAUAAUCCACACACAAACGCCAAGAAUUAUCUUUCUUUUUGACCAAGACCACUGGAGAAGCAUAAGGGCUAGAACUCGUUUGAAUAGUCCCUGCAUCAAGUAGACUCUGCACCAUACUAAAGAUUCAAGCUUUCUCUCUCAAGAGUUCUUGUGUUCUUCAUAAAAAAGUAGAUAGAUCCCCCAUUAUUGUCUGAAAAGUAGUUAUAUAUUACUAAAACUCGAGCUGGGGUUGACCCAUAAAAACAGAUAUUUUUCUCCGUAGUGACCAUAAAAGGUCGCUACAAGAGGUCACUACGCCUGUAGCGACCUGAAAUGCCCGCUACGGGUGGCCGCUAGGACACUUAGACGAUUUUUUCGCAUUCUUGAACUCAUAGCGACCUCAUUAUGCCGCUACGGAAGACCGCUACAGAAAGCGCUUCAACUAUAGCGGUCUCUCUAACCCGCUACACACUCCCGCUACGGUACUUAGGCGCCUCAGCUCUAUCUUCUGUAGCGACCAUCUUUUGCCGCUACGCCUGGCCGCUAGGAAUGUCAUAUUGAUAUGUGUGUAGUAUUUUGAUCAUAAAUCCCUCAAUACAGCUCCAAACGACUUGAAACCACCUCCAUUGUAAAGCUAACUCAAUUUCCAGUGUCUCCACAAAUUUUGAGCUUCAGAAGAGAUCUUUAAGGCCUUCAUCCGUGUUCAUCUUUCACUCUUUGGACUCAAAAUCCCUCCAAUGGUCUUCUAACUCAUCCAUGGUGCUCUCCAACACCUGAUAUGUACAAAUGCAAUGAUAUGCAACCUAAAUGUGCCUAAAUGAUACUCUAAAUGACCAAACCAUGCAAGAAUAAGAAGUUAAAAACAUGUAAAUUCACAAAAUAUCACAUACUCAACACCUCAGAGCCCUCCACUCUGGACAAGGCAUCAGCUGCCACAUUAUCCUUCCAUUGCCUAUACUGUAUUUCAUAAUCAAACUCCAGCAGUUUAGGCAACCAUUGUUGCUGAAUUGGUGUGUUGAGGCGUUGUUCAAGGAGAUACUUCAAGCUCCUUUGAUCAGUGCGAAUGAUAAAGUGACCAUGGAGUAGGUAAUGUCUCCAUUUUUGAACAGCAAACACUACAGCCAACAACUCUUUCUCAUAAAUGGAGAGAUGGAGCUGUUUACCCUUCAAAUGGCGACUUAUAUAAGCCAAAGGAUGACCUUCCUGCAUCAAGACAGCUCCUAUUCCACUUCCACAUGCAUCAGUUUCUACUACAAACUGCUUCGUAAAGUCUGGUAAUGCAAGCACCGGAGCAUUACACAGAGUAAACUUCAAUUCUUCAAAUGCCUU
rnacentral:lncRNA from 1 species